rnacentral:rRNA from 1 species
AUGAUAAUGGGAUAUUCCCCCUUGGAGUCUCAGGCUAUCGCCAACCGGCUGAACUGCCGCCUGGGCUCUUUCCCCACCUCCUACUUGGGGACCCCUAUCAGUGACUCGCGCCUCUCUGCCGCGGACUUGAGGCCUGCUAUUUCUAAGCUCCAAUCCCGGUGCGAGCCCUGGCAGGGGAGAUGGCUCUCUAAGGCGGCCCGCACUAUUCUUAUCAACUCUUCUCUCUCUAGCCUGCUGCUGUUCCUUAUGAGCUUCUAUAGCCUCCAUGAGUCCCUUCAUAAGGAGAUUGCCAAGAUCCAGUCUCGCUUCUACUGGGCUGGUGAGCAUGAUAAG